rnacentral:rRNA from 1 species
UACAGAGGUCUCAAGCGUUGUUCGGAUUUAUUGGGCGUAAAGGGUGCGUAGGCGGCGCGGUAAGUCGGGUGUGAAAUCUCGGAGCUUAACUCCGAAACUGCAUUCGAUACUGCCGUGCUUGAGGACUGGAGAGGAGACUGGAAUUUACGGUGUAGCGGUGAAAUGCGUAGAUAUCGUAAGGAAGACCAGUGGCGAAGGCGGGUCUCUGGACAGUUCCUGACGCUGAGGCACGAAGGCCAGGGGAGCAAACGGG